rnacentral:rRNA from 1 species
GAUGAACGCUGGCGGCGUGCCUAAUACAUGCAAGUCGAGCGAACAGACGAGGAGCUUGCUCCUCUGACGUUAGCGGCGGACGGGUGAGUAACACGUGGAUAACCUACCUAUAAGACUGGGAUAACUUCGGGAAACCGGAGCUAAUACCGGAUAAUAUAUUGAACCGCAUGGUUCAAUAGUGAAAGACGGUUUUGCUGUCACUUAUAGAUGGAUCCGCGCCGCAUUAGCUAGUUGGUAAGGUAACGGCUUACCAAGGCGACGAUGCGUAGCCGACCUGAGAGGGUGAUCGGCCACACUGGAACUGAGACACGGUCCAGACUCCUACGGGAGGCAGCAGUAGGGAAUCUUCCGCAAUGGGCGAAAGCCUGACGGAGCAACGCCGCGUGAGUGAUGAAGGUCUUCGGAUCGUAAAACUCUGUUAUUAGGGAAGAACAAAUGUGUAAGUAAAUAUGCACGUCUUGACGGUACCUAAUCAGAAAGCAACGGCUAACUACGUG